GAUGGGGCUAGCUGGUG
rnacentral:miRNA from 1 species